rnacentral:piRNA from 1 species
UAAUAGUCUCAAUCCGAGAGCUUUUCUCGUC